rnacentral:rRNA from 1 species
AACGAACGCUGGCGGCAUGCCUAACACAUGCAAGUCGAACGAGACCUUCGGGUCUAGUGGCGCACGGGUGCGUAACGCGUGGGAACCUGCCCUUAGGUUCGGAAUAACUCCCCGAAGGGGGUGCUAAUACCGGUUAAGGUCUUCGGACCAAAGAUUUAUCGCCUUUGGAUGGGCCCGCGUUGGAUUAGCCAGUUGGUAGGGUAAAAGCCUACCAAGGCGACGAUCCUUAGCUGGUAGGAGAGGAUGAUCAGCCACACUGGGAAUGAGACACGGCCCAGACUCCUACGGGAGGCAGCAGUGGGGAAUAUUGGACAAUGGGCGAAAGCCUGAUCCAGCAAUGCCGCGUGAGUGAUGAAGGCCUUAGGGUUGUAAAGCUCUUUUACCCGGGAUGAUAAUGACAGUACCGGGAGAAUAAGCACCGGCUAACUCCGUG